rnacentral:rRNA from 1 species
GACGAACGCUGGCGGCGUGCUUAACACAUGCAAGUCGAGCGAUGAGGUUCCUUCGGGAACGGAUUAGCGGCGGACGGGUGAGUAACACGUGGGUAACCUGCCUCAUAGAGGGGAAUAGCCUUCCGAAAGGAAGAUUAAUACCGCAUAAGAUUGUAGUGCCGCAUGGUACAGCAAUUAAAGGAGCAAUCCGCUAUGAGAUGGACCCGCGUCGCAUUAGCUAGUUGGUGAGGUAACGGCUCACCAAGGCGACGAUGCGUAGCCGACCUGAGAGGGUGAUCGGCCACAUUGGGACUGAGACACGGCCCAGACUCCUACGGGAGGCAGCAGUGGGGAAUAUUGCACAAUGGGGGAAACCCUGAUGCAGCAACGCCGCGUGAGUGAUGACGGUCUUCGGAUUGUAAAACUCUGUCUUCAGGGACGAUAAUGACGGUACCUGAGGAGGAAGCCACGGCUAACUACGUGCCAGCAGCCGCGGUAACAC